rnacentral:rRNA from 1 species
CACGGGGGGAGCAAGCGUUGUUCGGAAUCACUGGGCGUAAAGGGCGUGUAGGCGGUCAGGUAAGUGGGAUGUGAAAUGCCCCGGCUCACCCGGGGACCGGCAUCCCAUACUGCUUGGCUUGAGUACGGGAGAGGAUGUGGGAAUUCCUGGUGUAGCGGUGAAAUGCGUAGAUAUCUGGAGGAACACCGGUGGCGAAGGCGGCAUCCUGGACCGGUAUUGACGCUGAGGCGCGAAAGCUAGGGGAGCAAACGGG